GAUCCCCCAAAGGUGACAUCAGCGAGAGAAAAACGGUCAUAGAGGGUUAACAGAGAAUGUGGAUUACCAUGCUUUGAUUGGCUUGAGACGCGGUUGUUCACGAUCCGAGUUGGAGCGAGCGCAUUUGUUGAUUAUGCUACGUCACAAACCGGAUAAAUCGAUAACCUUCAUUGAUCGGUGCGAACUCACUGGUGAAGUUGAUGUGCAUUCGAUUAGAGAGCGGGCAAAGAUGUCUGGUAUAUUGUUAUACAGAUUGAUUCAAAGAGGUUACACCAAUGUUUUGCGCAUGAUUCCAGAGGAUGAAGUUGCUGAAAAAGAGAGGAAGAAAGCUUCUGCAGCUUUACAACAAGAAAUGCAGUUGCUACAUCAAGAGCACGUUAAAACCGUGACCAAAAUGGACGAUCAGGAUUGCGAAAACAAGCUGAAGAUUGUUUUUAAUUCCCAAAGGGAUUGACAGUAAAGAAGCUGAAGAUGUUUUGGCGCAAGCUGAAGAUUGUUUUUAAUUCCCAUUUUAUUAAAUCGUGUGACUGAUUUUAUACAAGUUGAUCGUGUGAUUGAUUUUAUCACAGGAUAUGAUAAAGCAAUUCGAGACUGAUGGAUUCAAUUGACGAGCUACUCAAGAACACAUUCGAGGUUUGUGCUGCUGGAUCUGCUGUUUAUGUUUCAAGAUUGACCCACUUUUUGAAUCGGAAGUCAACAUUUAAGUUGUAAUCCAGUCUGAAGUUUACUUUAGUAUUUGUUGUGAAGGCAACUUGGAUUUUAGUAAUCUAAAUUAUUAUUAUGUCAAUUUAACCAGGGCAGUGGUUGCCCAGGCACACAUAUUCGUUAUAGAUUCACACUGAUUAUAAUAAUAUAAGCCAACUGGGGAAAUGUA